rnacentral:rRNA from 1 species
GAUGAACGCUAGCGGCAGGCCUAACACAUGCAAGUCGAGGGGCAGCACAGAAACAGCAAUGUUUUGGUGGCGACCGGCGGACGGGCGCGUAACGCGUAUGCAACCUACCUUUAACAGGGGGAUAACGGAGAGAAAUUUCCACUAAUACCCCAUAACAUCGAUCAAGGCAUCUUGAUUGGUUGAAAACUCCGGUGGUUAAAGAUGGGCAUGCGUUGUAUUAGGUAGUUGGUGAGGUAAUGGCUCACCAAGCCUACGAUACAUAGGGGGACUGAGAGGUUAGCCACCCACACAGGUACUGAGACACGGACCAGACUCCUACGGGAGGCAGCAGUGAGGAAUAUUGGUCAAUGGGGGCAACCCUGAACCAGCCAUGCCGCGUGCAGGAAGACGGCUCUAUGAGUUGUAAACUGCUUUUAAACAGGGAUAAAGCACAGUAUGUAUACUGUGUUGAAGGUACUGUAAGAAUAAGGAUCGGCUAACUCCGUGCCAGCCGCCGCCGUAA